CCAGCUCCACCACAAUCGUUGAAACUACCACCCUCAGUCCCCGGUGCCACAACAACAAGCCCAGAAUCACCAACUGUCACUUCAACACCAUCAGUAAGCACCACCACAUUACCACCUGUACCCACAACUAAGGGAACAACAGGAAGUGCUGAAACAACCCAACCAGAAAGGACCACCACUGGCCCAGUGACCAGCUCCACCACAAUCGUUGAAACUACCACCUCAGUCCCCGGUGCCACAACAACAAGCCCAGAAUCAUCAACUGUCACUUCAACACCAUCAGUAAGCACCACCACAUUACCACCUGUACCCACAACUAAGGGAACAACAGGAAGUGCUGAAACAACCCAACCAGAAAGGACCACCACUGGCCCAGUGACCAGCUCCACCACAAUCGUUGAAACUACCACCUCAGUCCCCGGUGCCACAACAACAAGCCCAGAAUCACCAACUGUCACUUCAACACCAUCAGUAAGCACCACCACAUUACCACCUGUACCCACAACUAAGGGAACAACAGCAAGUGCUGAAACAACCCAACCAGAAAGGACCACCACUGGCCCAGUGACCAGCUCCACCACAAUCGUUGAAACUACCACCUCAGUCCCCGGUGCCACAACAACAAGCCCAGAAUCACCAACUGUCACUUCAACACCAUCAGUAAGCACCACCACAUUACCACCUGUACCCACAACUAAGGGAACAACAGGAAGUGCUGAAACAACCCAACCAGAAAGGACCACCACUGGCCCAGUGACCAGCUCCACCACAAUCGUUGAAACUACCACCUCAGUCCCUGGUGCCACAACAACAAGCCCAGAAUCAUCAACUGUCACUUCAACACCAUCAGUAAGCACCACCACAUUACCACCUGUACCCACAACUAAGGGAACAACAGCAAGUGCUGAAACAACCCAACCAGAAAGGACCACCACUGGCCCAGUGACCAGCUCCACCACAAUCGUUGAAACUACCACCUCAGUCCCCGGUGCCACAACAACAAGCCCAGAAUCACCAACUGUCACUUCAACACCAUCAGUAAGCACCACCACAUUACCACCUGUACCCACAACUAAGGGAACAACAGGAAGUGCUGAAACAACCCAACCAGAAAGGACCACCACUGGCCCAGUGACCAGCUCCACCACAAUCGUUGAAACUACCACCUCAGUCCCCGGUGCCACAACAACAAGCCCAGAAUCAUCAACUGUCACUUCAACACCAUCAGUAAGCACCACCACAUUACCACCUGUACCCACAACUAAGGGAACAACAGGAAGUGCUGAAACAACCCAACCAGAAAGGACCACCACUGGCCCAGUGACCAGCUCCACCACAAUCGUUGAAACUACCACCUCAGUCCCCGGUGCCACAACAACAAGCCCAGAAUCACCAACUGUCACUUCAACACCAUCAGUAAGCACCACCACAUUACCACCUGUACCCACAACUAAGGGAACAACAGCAAGUGCUGAAACAACCCAACCAGAAAGGACCACCACUGGCCCAGUGACCAGCUCCACCACAAUCGUUGAAACUACCACCUCAGUCCCUGGUGCCACAACAACAAGCCCAGAAUCAUCAACUGUCACUUCAACACCAUCAGUAAGCACCACCACAUUACCACCUGUACCCACAACUAAAGGAACAACCAGUAGUGCUGAAACAACCCGACCAGAAAGGACCACCACUGGCCCAGUGACCAGUUCCACCACAAGGGUUAUUGAAAGUACCACCUCAGUCCCUGGUGCCACAACAACAAGCCCAGAAUCACCAACUGUCACUUCAACACCAUCAGUAAGCACCACCACAUUACCACCUGUACCCACAACUAAGGGAACAACAGGAAGUGCUGAAACAACCCAACCAGAAAGGACCACCACUGGCCCAGUGACCAGCUCCACCACAAUCGUUGAAACUACCACCUCAGUCCCCGGUGCCACAACAACAAGCCCAGAAUCACCAACUGUCACUUCAACACCAUCAGUAAGCACCACCACAUUACCACCUCCAUCCACAACUAAGGGAACAACAGGAAGUGCUGAAACAACCCAACCAGAAAGGACCACCACUGGCCCAGUGACCAGUUCCACCACAAGGGUUAUUGAAAGUACCACCUCAGUCCCUGGUGCCACAACAACAAGCCCAGAAUCAUCAACUGUCACUUCAACACCAUCAGUAAGCACCACCACAUUACCACCUCCAUCCACAACUAAGGGAACAACAGGAAGUGUUGAAACAACCCAACCAGAAAGGACCACCACUGGCCCAGUGACCAGCUCCACCACAAUCGUUGAAACUACCACCUCAGUUCCCGGUGCCACAACAACAAGCCCAGAAUCACCAACUGUCACUUCAACACCAUCAGUAAGCACCACCACAUUACCACCUGUACCCACAACUAAGGGAACAACAGGAAGUGCUGAAACAACCCAACCAGAAAGGACCACCACUGGCCCAGUGACCAGCUCCACCACAAUCGUUGAAACUACCACCUCAGUCCCCGGUGCCACAACAACAAGCCCAGAAUCACCAACUGUCACUUCAACACCAUCAGUAAGCACCACCACAUUACCACCUGUACCCACAACUAAGGGAACAACAGGAAGUGCUGAAACAACCCAACCAGAAAGGACCACCACUGGCCCAGUGACCAGCUCCACCACAAUCGUUGAAACUACCACCUCAGUCCCCGGUGCCACAACAACAAGCCCAGAAUCACCAACUGUCACUUCAACACCAUCAGUAAGCACCACCACAUUACCACCUCCAUCCACAACUAAGGGAACAACAGGAAGUGCUGAAACAACCCAACCAGAAAGGACCACCACUGGCCCAGUGACCAGCUCCACCACAAUCGUUGAAACUACCACCUCAGUCCCCGGUGCCACAACAACAAGCCCAGAAUCACCAACUGUCACUUCAACACCAUCAGUAAGCACCACCACAUUACCACCUGUACCCACAACUAAGGGAACAACAGGAAGUGCUGAAACAACCCAACCAGAAAGGACCACCACUGGCCCAGUGACCAGCUCCACCACAAUCGUUGAAACUACCACCUCAGUCCCCGGUGCCACAACAACAAGCCCAGAAUCAUCAACUGUCACUUCAACACCAUCAGUAAGCACCACCACAUUACCACCUCCAUCCACAACUAAGGGAACAACAGGAAGUGUUGAAACAACCCAACCAGAAAGGACCACCACUGGCCCAGUGACCAGCUCCACCACAAUCGUUGAAACUACCACCUCAGUUCCCGGUGCCACAACAACAAGCCCAGAAUCACCAACUGUCACUUCAACACCAUCAGUAAGCACCACCACAUUACCACCUCCAUCCACAACUAAGGGAACAACAGGAAGUGUUGAAACAACCCAACCAGAAAGGACCACCACUGGCCCAGUGACCAGCUCCACCACAAGGGUUAUUGAAAGUACCACCUCAGUCCCUGGUGCCACAACAACAAGCCCAGAAUCAUCAACUGUCACUUCAACACCAUCAGUAAGCACCACCACAUUACCACCUCCAUCCACAACUAAGGGAACAACAGGAAGUGCUGAAACAACCCAACCAGAAAGGACCACCACUGGCCCAGUGACCAGUUCCACCACAAGGGUUAUUGAAAGUACCACCUCAGUCCCUGGUGCCACAACAACAAGCCCAGAAUCAUCAACUGUCACUUCAACACCAUCAGUAAGCACCACCACAUUACCACCUCCAUCCACAACUAAGGGAACAACAGGAAGUGCUGAAACAACCCAACCAGAAAGGACCACCACUGGCCCAGUGACCAGUUCCACCACAAGGGUUAUUGAAAGUACCACCUCAGUCCCUGGUGCCACAACAACAAGCCCAGAAUCAUCAACUGUCACUUCAACACCAUCAGUAAGCACCACCACAUUACCACCUCCAUCCACAACUAAGGGAACAACAGGAAGUGUUGAAACAACCCAACCAGAAAGGACCACCACUGGCCCAGUGACCAGCUCCACCACAAUCGUUGAAACUACCACCUCAGUUCCCGGUGCCACAACAACAAGCCCAGAAUCACCAACUGUCACUUCAACACCAUCAGUAAGCACCACCACAUUACCACCUCCAUCCACAACUAAGGGAACAACAGGAAGUGCUGAAACAACCCAACCAGAAAGGACCACCACUGGCCCAGUGACCAGUUCCACCACAAGGGUUAUUGAAAGUACCACCUCAGUCCCUGGUGCCACAACAACAAGCCCAGAAUCAUCAACUGUCACUUCAACACCAUCAGUAAGCACCACCACAUUACCACCUCCAUCCACAACUAAGGGAACAACAGGAAGUGUUGAAACAACCCAACCAGAAAGGACCACCACUGGCCCAGUGACCAGCUCCACCACAAUCGUUGAAACUACCACCUCAGUUCCCGGUGCCACAACAACAAGCCCAGAAUCACCAACUGUCACUUCAACACCAUCAGUAAGCACCACCACAUUACCACCUGUACCCACAACUAAGGGAACAACAGGAAGUGCUGAAACAACCCAACCAGAAAGGACCACCACUGGCCCAGUGACCAGCUCCACCACAAUCGUUGAAACUACCACCUCAGUCCCCGGUGCCACAACAACAAGCCCAGAAUCACCAACUGUCACUUCAACACCAUCAGUAAGCACCACCACAUUACCACCUCCAUCCACAACUAAGGGAACAACAGGAAGUGCUGAAACAACCCAACCAGAAAGGACCACCACUGGCCCAGUGACCAGUUCCACCACAAGGGUUAUUGAAAGUACCACCUCAGUCCCUGGUGCCACAACAACAAGCCCAGAAUCACCAACUGUCACUUCAACACCAUCAGUAAGCACCACCACAUUACCACCUGCAUCCACAACUAAGGGAACAACAGGAAGUGUUGAAACAACCCAACCAGAAAGGACCACCACUGGCCCAGUGACCAGCUCCACCGCAAUCGUUGAAACUACCACCUCAGUUCCCGGUGCCACAACAACAAGCCCAGAAUCACCAACUGUCACUUCAACACCAUCAGUAAGCACCACCACAUUACUACCUCCAUCCACAACUAAGGGAACAACAGGAAGUGCUGAAACAACCCAACCAGAAAGGACCACCACUGGCCCAGUGACCAGUUCCACCACAAGGGUUAUUGAAAGUACCACCUCAGUCCCUGGUGCCACAACAACAAGCCCAGAAUCAUCAACUGUCACUUCAACACCAUCAGUAAGCACCACCACAUUACCACCUGUACCCACAACUAAAGGAACAACCAGUAGUGCUGAAACAACCCGACCAGAAAGGACCACCACUGGCCCAGUGACCAGUUCCACCACAAGGGUUAUUGAAAGUACCACCUCAGUCCCUGGUGCCACAACAACAAGCCCAGAAUCACCAACUGUCACUUCAACACCAUCAGUAAGCACCACCACAUUACCACCUCCAUCCACAACUAAGGGAACAACAGGAAGUGCUGAAACAACCCAACCAGAAAGGACCACCACUGGCCCAGUGACCAGUUCCACCACAAGGGUUAUUGAAAGUACCACCUCAGUCCCUGGUGCCACAACAACAAGCCCAGAAUCAUCAACUGUCACUUCAACACCAUCAGUAAGCACCACCACAUUACCACCUCCAUCCACAACUAAGGGAACAACAGGAAGUGUUGAAACAACCCAACCAGAAAGGACCACCACUGGCCCAGUGACCAGCUCCACCACAAUCGUUGUUGAAACUACCACCUCAGUCCCCGGUGCCACAACAACAAGCCCAGAAUCACCAACUGUCACUUCAACACCAUCAGUAAGCACCACCACAUUACCACCUGUACCCACAACUAAGGGAACAACAGGAAGUGCUGAAACAACCCAACCAGAAAGGACCACCACUGGCCCAGUGACCAGCUCCACCACAAGGGUUUUUGAAAAUACCACCUCAGUCCCUGGUGCCACAACAACAAGCCCAGAAUCAUCAACUGUCACUUCAACACCAUCAGUAAGCACCACCACAUUACCACCUCCAUCCACAACUAAGGGAACAACAGGAAGUGUUGAAACAACCCAACCAGAAAGGACCACCACUGGCCCAGUGACCAGCUCCACCACAAUCGUUGAAACUACCACCUCAGUCCCCGGUGCCACAACAACAAGCCCAGAAUCACCAACUGUCACUUCAACACCAUCAGUAAGCACCACCACAUUACCACCUGUACCCACAACUAAGGGAACAACAGGAAGUGCUGAAACAACCCAACCAGAAAGGACCACCACUGGCCCAGUGACCAGCUCCACCACAAGGGUUUUUGAAAAUACCACCUCAGUCCCUGGUGCCACAACAACAAGCCCAGAAUCAUCAACUGUCACUUCAACACCAUCAGUAAGCACCACCACAUUACCACCUCCAUCCACAACUAAGGGAACAACAGGAAGUGCUGAAACAACCCAACCAGAAAGGACCACCACUGGCCCAGUGACCAGCUCCACCACAAUCGUUGAAACUACCACCUCAGUCCCCGGUGCCACAACAACAAGCCCAGAAUCACCAACUGUCACUUCAACACCAUCAGUAAGCACCACCACAUUACCACCUCCAUCCACAACUAAGGGAACAACAGCAAGUGCUGAAACAACCCAACCAGAAAGGACCACCACUGGCCCAGUGACCAGCUCCACCACAAUCGUUGAAACUACCACCUCAGUCCCCGGUGCCACAACAACAAGCCCAGAAUCACCAACUGUCACUUCAACACCAUCAGUAAGCACCACCACAUUACCACCUGUACCCACAACUAAGGGAACAACAGGAAGUGCUGAAACAACCCAACCAGAAAGGACCACCACUGGCCCAGUGACCAGCUCCACCACAAGGGUUUUUGAAAAUACCACCUCAGUCCCUGGUGCCACAACAACAAGCCCAGAAUCAUCAACUGUCACUUCAACACCAUCAGUAAGCACCACCACAUUACCACCUCCAUCCCAACUAAGGGAACAACAGGAAGUGUUGAAACAACCCAACCAGAAAGGACCACCACUGGCCCAGUGA
ensembl:lncRNA